UAGGCAACACAAUGACUACUAGAUCUACGGACAGCCAGGAACCAGGACAAACAACAUCCAUACACACGGAAGAAGUCAAUGAGACGAAAUGUACGGAACAAAAAAGGGCAACACAAUGACUACUAGAUCUACGGACAGCCAGGAACCAGGACAAACAACAUCCGUACACACGGAAGAAGUCGAUGAGACGGUUUGUAAUAUUUCACUAUGUCGAAGCUACUAAGGCGUAAUUUCUGGUUUGGUUUAGUCUUAAGUGAAAUGGACGUAAU